AGCUCCUGGUACAUUAAACGGGCCACUGCGGUUCCAUAUUGAAAUGCAACUACCACCUGAAACAUGACUUCUUGAAGGAAACAUGGAUCCAACUCUGAUCACAUAGCAUGGAAAAUGAUAAUGCUGACUCAUGGGUGAGAAGACCAGAAAGGGGACCAGAGUUGGGACACAACCCAGUCAAGGAAUGCUCUGUCUUAGAGAACAAGCUUCCAUGCUACUGUUGCCCUGUGGAAAGAUCUAACCAGGAGGAACCCGGGAGUCUCGAGCCCACAGCAACUUUGUUGCCAGCUUUCUGAAGAUAAACAACUGAAAACAAGGAAUGAAUCCGAUGGGAUCCUGGUUCUGGACUUUCAGUUCAUGGUGCAUUGGUCUCAUUGGAAUGGACACUAUGGAGGGAGCACAGGGUAGAACAGGCUCACCUCGGCUGAGAAAGAGGUCAGCAGCUUGUGCUUAUCUGGAAGCUAUCUGUCUUGUAGUCAUUUAGCCACAGUGGUGGAUCCAACUCGGCAAGCGAGAUUUAUGGUGAGCCAACUGCCUUGGCUGCUCCGACUGUGUGGAGAAGCAUUUCCUGACCCUGAG
rnacentral:lncRNA from 1 species